GACGAACGCUGGCGGCGUGCUUAACACAUGCAAGUCGAGCGGUAAGGCCCUUCGGGGUACACGAGCGGCGAACGGGUGAGUAACACGUGGGUGACCUGCCUCUAGCUCUGGGAUAAGCCUGGGAAACUGGGUCUAAUACCGGAUAUGACUCCACGGCGCAUGUUGUGGGGUGGAAAGCCUUGUGUGGCUAGAGAUGGGCCCGCGGCCUAUCAGCUUGUUGGUGGGGUGAUGGCCUACCAAGGCGACGACGGGUAGCCGGCCUGAGAGGGCGACCGGCCACACUGGGACUGAGACACGGCCCAGACUCCUACGGGAGGCAGCAGUGGGGAAUCUUGCGCAAUGGGCGAAAGCCUGACACAGCGACGCCGCGUGAGGGAUGACGGCCU
rnacentral:rRNA from 1 species